UACGUAGGGUGCGAGCGUUGUCCGGAAUUAUUGGGCGUAAAGAGCUUGUAGGCGGUCUGUCGCGUCUGCUGUGAAAAUCCGGGGCUCAACCCCGGACUUGCAGUGGGUACGGGCAGACUAGAGUGUGGUAGGGGAGACUGGAAUUCCUGGUGUAGCGGUGAAAUGCGCAGAUAUCAGGAGGAACACCGGUGGCGAAGGCGGCCAUCUGGACCGCAACUGACGCUGAGGCGCGAAAGCGUGGGGAGCAAACAGG
rnacentral:rRNA from 1 species